AGUCAUUGGGUAUUAUAAAACCUAAAGGCAUAAUUAACUUAACUUUUAUUUAUAUGGGAUCAUAUAUAUAUUAUAUAUAAUAUAUAAUCCAUCCCGGGACGUUCUAUAUAGUUAUGCAUUUUAAUAUAUUUUAUAUAUUAUAUAUGCCUCUAACUAGAGCGUACCUUGAGCAUAUAUGUUGUGACCCGAAAGAUGGUGAACUAUACCUGAUCAGGUUGAAGUCAGGGGAAACCCUGAUGGAAGACCGAAACAGUUCUGACGUGCAAAUCGAUUGUCAGAAUUGGGUAUAGGGGCGAAAGACCAAUCGAACCAUCUAGUAGCUGGUUCCCUCCGAAGUUUCCCUCAGGAUAGCUGGUGCAUUUAAAGAUUAUAUAAAAUAAUCUUAUCUGGUAAAGCGAAUGAUUAGAGGCAUUAGGGCCGAAACGACCUUAACCUAUUCUCAAACUUUAAAUGGGUAAGAACCUCACCUUUCUUGAUAUGAAGGUUGAGGUUAUGAUAUAUUGUGCCCAGUGGGCCACUUUUGGUAAGCAGAACUGGCGCUGUGGGAUGAACCAAACGUGAUGUUACGGCGCCCAAAUUAACAACUCAUACUGAUACCAUGAAAGGCGUUGCUUGCUUAAAACAGCAGGACGGUGGACAUGGAAGUCGUAAUCCGCUAAGGAGUGUGUAACAACUCACCUGCCGAAGCAACUAGCCCUUAAAAUGGAUGGCGCUCAAGUUGUAUGCCUAUACAUCACUGCUAAAAUAAAUGAUUUAAUAAUGGCUUAAGUUUUUUAAUAAAUUUUGAAAUUUUAGUGAGUAGGAGGGUACAAUAGUGUGCGUAGAAGUAUUUGGCGUAAGCCUGUAUGGAGCCGCUAUUGGUACAGAUCUUGGUGGUAGUAGCAAAUAAUCGAAUGAGACCUUGGAGGACUGAAGUGGAGAAGGGUUUCGUGUGAACAGUGGUUGAUCACGAGUUAGUCGGUCCUAAGUUCAAGGCGAAAGCCGAAAAUUUUAAGUUAUAAUAAAUAUAUAAAAAUAAUAAUAUAUAUAUAAUAUACUUAUAAUUUUUAUGAACGAAAGGGAAUACGGUUCCAAUUCCGUAACCUGUUGAGUAUACGUUUGUUAUUAAAAAUGGGCUUUUAUGCUCAUCCUGGCAACAGAAACAACCAUAAAGAAGCCGUCGAGAAAUAUCGAAAGAGUUUUCUUUUCUGUUUCAUAGUCGUACUACCAUGGAAGUCUUUCGAAGAGAGAUAUGGUAGAUGGGCUAGAAGAGCAUGGCAUUUACUGCUGUGUCGAUAUUUUCUCCUCGGACCUUGAAAAUUUAUGGUGGGGUCACGCAAACUUCUUAACAGGCCGUACCGAUAUCCGCAGCUGGUCUCCA
rnacentral:rRNA from 1 species